ACAUCCUUCAACCUUUCUUGGUUUUCUCAACCAAGGAAGGCUUGGACUUUGGGGGUUUUUCAUUGCUGGCCUCCUUUGAAGCCAGCUCCUCCUAAAUGGAUUAGUGGGGUCCGCUUUGCCGAUCCUUGACGUGAUAAGAUGUUUCUACGUCUCGGGUUUUGCACUGUCGCUUUGGACCCUGCUUCUAACCGUCUUGCAUUCAGGACAGAGUCAUGAACC
rnacentral:misc_RNA from 1 species